GAACGAACGCUGGCGGCAGGCUUAACACAUGCAAGUCGAACGUGAAGCAGGAGCUUGCUCCUGUGGAAAGUGGCAGACGGGUGAGUAACGCGUGGGAAUUUACCCAGUGGUUCGGAAUAACUUCAGGAAACCGGAGCUAAUACCGAAUACGCCCUUCGGGGGAAAGAUUUAUCGCCAUUGGAUGAGCCCGCGUCGGAUUAGCUUGUUGGUGAGGUAAAAGCUCACCAAGGCGACGAUCCGUAGCUGGUCUGAGAGGAUGAUCAGCCACACUGGGACUGAGACACGGCCCAGACUCCUACGGGAGGCAGCAGUGGGGAAUAUUGCACAAUGGGCGCAAGCCUGAUCCAGCCAUGCCGCGUGAGUGACGAAGGCCUUAGGGUUGUAAAGCUCUUUCAGUAGUGACGAUAAUGACGGUAACUACAGAAGAAGCCCCGGCUAACUUCGUGCCAGCAGCCGCGGUAAUACGAAGGGGGCUAGCGUUGUUCGGAAUAACUGGGCGUAAAGCGCGCGUAGGCGGACUGGUCAGUUAGGGGUGAAAUCCCGAGGCUCAACCUCGGAACUGCCUCUAAUACUGGCAAUCUUGAGUUCGAGAGAGGUGAGUGGAACUCCUAGUGUAGAGGUGAAAUUCGUAGAUAUUAGGAAGAACACCAGUGGCGAAAGGCGGCUCACUGGCUCGAUACUGACGCUGAGCGCGAAAAGCGUGGGGGAGCAAACAGAUAGAUACCUGGUAGUCCACGCCGUAAACGAUGAAUGCUAGCUGUCGGCAGGCAUGCCUGUCGGUGGCGCAGCUAACGCAUUAAGCAUUCCGCUGGGGAGUACGGUCGCAAGAUUAAAACUCAAAGGAAUUGACGGGGGCCCGCACAGCGGUGGAGCAUGUGGUUUAAUUCGAGGCAACGCGAAGAACCUUACCAGCCCUUGACAUCCCGGUCGCGGAUAGCAGAGAUGCUUUCCUUCAGUUCGGCUGGACCGGUGACAGGUGCUGCAUGGUUGUCGUCAGCUCGUGUCGUGAGAUGUUGGGUUAAGUCCCGCAACGAGCGCAACCCUCGCCUUUAGUUGCCAGCCUUAAGUUGGGCACUCUAGAGGGACUGCCGGUGAUAAGCCGGAGGAAGGUGGGGAUGACGUCAAAUCAUCAUGGCCCUUACGGGCUGGGCUACACACGUGCUACAAUGGCGGAUACAGUGAGCAGCCACUCAGCAAUGAGGAGCUAAUCUCUAAAAACCGUCUCAGUUCGGAUUGUUCUCUGCAACUCGAGAGCAUGAAGUCGGAAUCGCUAGUAAUCGUGGAUCAGCAUGCCACGGUGAAUACGUUCCCGGGCCUUGUACACACCGCCCGUCACACCAUGGGAGUUGGCUUUACCCGAAGACUGUGUGCUAACUUCGGAGGCAGCAGGCCACGGUAAGGUCAGCGACUGGGGU
rnacentral:rRNA from 1 species